AUUGAACGCUGGCGGCAUGCCUUACACAUGCAAGUCGAACGGUAACAGCACUUCGGUGGCUGACGAGUGGCGAACGGGUGAGUAAUACAUCGGAACGUGCCCGAGAGUGGGGGAUAACGCAGCGAAAGCUGUGCUAAUACCGCAUACGAUCUACGGAUGAAAGCAGGGGAUUCGCAAGGACCUUGCGCUCAUGGAGCGGCCGAUGGCAGAUUAGGUAGUUGGUGGGAUAAAAGCUUACCAAGCCGACGAUCUGUAGCUGGUCUGAGAGGACGACCAGCCACACUGGGACUGAGACACGGCCCAGACCCU
rnacentral:rRNA from 1 species